rnacentral:rRNA from 1 species
GACAGAGGGGGGCAAGCGUUGUCCGGAUUUACUGGGCGUAAAGGGCGUGCAGGCGGUUUGUUAAGUGCAGGGUGAAAGCUCCCGGCUCAACUGGGAGAGGUCCUUGCAUACUGGCGAACUCGAGGGAGGCAGAGGAAAGUGGAAUUCCCGGUGUAGUGGUGAUAUGCGUAGAUAUCGGGAGGAGCACCUGUGGCGAAGGCGGCUUUCUGGGCCUUACCUGACGCUGAGACGCGAAAGCGUGGGAGCGAACCGG